AACGAACGCUGGCGGCAUGCCUAACACAUGCAAGUCGAACGAUCCCUUCGGGGAUAGUGGCGCACGGGUGCGUAACGCGUGGGAACCUGCCCUUAGGUUCGGAAUAACUCAGAGAAAUUUGAGCUAAUACCGGAUAAUGUCUUCGGACCAAAGAUUUAUCGCCUUUGGAUGGGCCCGCGUUGGAUUAGCUAGUUGGUGGGGUAAAGGCCUACCAAGGCGACGAUCCAUAGCUGGGCUGAGAGGAUGAUCAGCCACACUGGGACUGAGACACGGCCCAGACUCCUACGGGAGGCAGCAGUGGGGAAUAUUGGACAAUGGGCGAAAGCCUGAUCCAGCAAUGCCGCGUGAGUGAUGAAGGCCUUAGGGUUGUAAAGCUCUUUUACCCGGGAUGAUAAUGACAGUACCGGGAGAAUAAGCCCCGGCUAACUCCGUG
rnacentral:rRNA from 1 species